AGGCGGCGCUUUGUCCAGAAGAUUGACGCGAUUGCGCAAUUCUGGGCGGGGCUUUCUCAAGGGAGGUGGUGAAGGUGUUUUUCCGUGCAUUGUAGAAGGGAGUCAUCUGAAAGGUAGGAAUUUAUUGACCACACCUGGGGAUUACAGCUGCUCCGGGUAGUUCACCUGCGCCUGGAUGUUGUUGUGUCGGAAAUCUGGAUCUCCGCCCAGACCAGGUGAAUAGAUAAAACCAAUUAUGAUAGAUUCAUACAAUGGAAUACAACUCAGCAGUAAAAAGACCAAGCUUUUGAUACAUGCAUCAACAUGGAUGAACCUCAAAAUAAUUAUGUUGAGUGAAAGAAGCCUGAAAAAAAGUCUAUAUGUAAUUUCAUUUAUAUAGUAUUCCAGCAAAUGGAAACUAUAGUGACAGAAAGUGAAUCAGUGGUUGCUAGGAGAUGGGUUGGCUUGGAAAAGGAGGAGGAAUUGCGAAGAGACAAAAGGAAGCUUUUACGGAUGAUAUAAAUUAUCUUAAUUGUGGUGUUGGUUUCACAGAUGUCAAAACAGACAUCACAGAUUUUAUGAUGUCAAAACAAACUGUACACUUAAUACGUCCAGUUUAUGUCAAUCAUACUCAAUAAAGUUCUUUCAAAAUA